rnacentral:rRNA from 1 species
ACACCGGCAGCUCUAGUGGUAGCUGUUUUUAUUGGGCCUAAAGCGUUCGUAGCCGGUUUGGUAAGUCACUGGUGAAAUCCUGUAGCUUAACUAUGGGCAUUGCUGGUGAUACUGUUGAACUUGAGGUCGGGAGAGGUUAGCGGUACUCCCAGGGUAGAGGUGAAAUUCUGUAAUCCUGGGAGGACCACCUGUGGCGAAGGCGGCUAACGGGAACGACCCUGACGGUGAGGGACGAAAGCUAGGGGCGCGAACCGGAUUAGAUACCCGGGUAGUCCUAGCCGUAAACGAUGCGGACUUGGUGUUGGGAUGGCUUUGAGCCGCUCCGGUGCCGAAGGGAAGCUGUUAAGUCCGCCGCCUGGGAAGUACGGUCGCAAGACUGAAACUUAAAUGAAUUGGCGGGG